rnacentral:ncRNA from 1 species
UGCCAAUGGAAGGUUUUCUGCGUUUAGUCAAUCUACGCAGAGUGAAUCAGUCCCUAAGGAUUCCCCGAAAGGGGUGCCGUCCAAUGGGUACACCAAAGUGACGAAGUUUCUUUGACUACAGAACCAUGCCUUUCUGUUGGAGUGAAUUGGAUAAUCGGGCGGAGGGCUUCCCACUCUUCCCCCACUCUUCUUUCCCUAAUAUAAACCUUGAGUCAUCAAAGCCUUUCUUACUCGGCUGGGCCCGAUCUCCCUACGCGACUGGCGCUUCAACAGGCGAAACUCUCCGUCAUAGUUUGGUGACCUAUGUUAAGUAGGGGCCUUUAGACUUUUGAUUAGAGUAGGGGUCGCGAGAGAGCUGAGCGUACUGCACUUCCAUAGUCACGAGUCUAUUUGUAUUCGCGGCUAUUGUCAUAAUCAACAAGGUUUACGCUUCUAGUAAAAAACGUCGAAUAUGGAAGGGCGAUCCUCCCGGUGAACUGACCGUACCCCAAACCAACACAGGUUAACAAGUAGAGUAUACUAGGGCGCCUGAGAGAACCAUGUCGAAAGAACUCGGCAAAAUGACCCCGUAAAUUCAAGAGAGGUGUGCUCUCCUAUAUUUUGAUUAGGAAAUCGGCACGUAGCAGGGGGUAGCGACUGUUUAUUAAAAACACAGGACUCUUCUAAGUGGUAACACGAUUUUAUAGAGUCUGACACCUGUCCGUUGCUGGAAGGUUUGAAGGAGAAGUGUUAUAAGGUUUGAAUGGAAGCCCCGGUAAAUGGAAGCAGUAACUCUAACUAUCCUAAGGUAGCAAAAUUCCUUGUCGCAUAAGUAGCGACCUACACGAAUGGUGUAACGACUGCCCUGUUUUCUCCGACAUGGAUCCGGUGCAAUUAAAUUCUACGUGAAGAUACGGAGUACCAACGGCUAGACGGUAAGACCCUGUGCACCUUAACUAUAGCUUCGCAGUGACAACCUUAAUAGAAUGUGUAGGAUAGGUGGGAGGUGGUGACACACAACGACCGAUCCUAAAAGACCGCUCUUUCGUCUAAGGAUGCCUAACCUCCGCACCGAUUAUUCGGGGGGAGGCGGGACAUUGCGAGUUGGGUUUGUCAGGGGCGGAUGCCUCCUAAAGAGUAUCGGAGGUGUGCGAAGGUAGGCUCAAGCUAAGAUUGUGCUCGUGAGCAUAAUGUCAUAAGUCUUCCUGACUGUGAGACCGACUAGUCGAACAGAGAUAAAAGUCGGCCAUAGUGAUCCGGGAGUCCCGUUGAAAGGCUAUCCCUCAACGGAUCAAAGUUAAACCGGGGAUAAAAGGCUGAUGACUCCCAAAAGCUCUUAGCAACGGAAUCAUUUGGUACCUCGAUGUCGACUCAUCACAUCCAGGUGUUGAAGAAGGUCCCAAGGGUUUGAUUGUUGCUGAUUCAAGUGGUGCAUGAGUUGGGUUUAUAAUGGCGUGAGACAGUUUGGUUCCUAUCUACCGUUUGUGUUAAAGGGAAAACUGCGAGGAGCCAACCCUAGUAAGAGAGGACUGGUUUGGGAUAACGUAUGGUGUACCGGCUGUUAUGCCAAUAGCAGCGCCGGGCAGCAGUUGAUAUGGAAGAACUGCUGCGCCACAGGAAAUCCUUCUCUAUACAAGUUCUCGAACGAGGUUUUUUAACAGAACUUCGAUAGGCGAGAGGUGUAAGCAUUGUGAGAUGUGAAGAGAUCUCGUCCUAAACGAAA